CACUGCUAGAUGAAUCCGCGUCCCAUUAGCUAGUUGGUGAGGUAACGGCCCACCAAGGCGACGAUGGGUAGCCGACCUGAGAGGGUGAUCGGCCACACUGGAACUGAGACACGGUCCAGACUCCUACGGGAGGCAGCAGUGGGGAAUAUUGGGCAAUGGGCGAAAGCCUGACCCAGCAACGCCGCGUGAAUGAUGAAGGAUAUUGGACGAAUGUUCUUCCUGUAAAUAAUGGGGAGAAGUGACGGUACAAUAAGAGGAAGCCACGGCUAACUACGUGCCAGCAGCCGCGGUAAUACGUAGGUGGCAAACGUUGUCCGGAAUUACUGGGCGUAAAGGGCGAGUAGGUGGUUUAUUAAGUAAGAGUGAAAACUCCAGGCUCAACUUGGAGACUGCUCUACGAAACUGGUAGACUUGAGUGCAAGAGAGGGAAGUGGAAUUCCUAGUGUAGCGGUGAAAUGCGUAGAUAUUAGGAGGAACACCAGUGGCGAAGGCGACUUCCUGGCUUGUAACUGACACUGAGGCGCGAAAGCGUGGGGAUCAAACAGGAUUAGAUACCCUGGUAGUCCACGCCGUAAACGAUGAGUGCUAGGUGUUGGAGAAAUUCCCCUUCCGUGCCGCAGUAAACGCAAUAAGUAUCCCGCCUGGGGAGUACGGCCGCAAGGUUGAAACUCAAAGGAAUUGACGGGGGCCCGCACAAGCGGUGGAGUAUGUGGUUUAAUUCGACGCAACGCGAAGAACCUUACCAAGGCUUGACAUCCCGUGACAGAUGCAGAGAUGUGUCCUCCUUUCGGGGCAGAUAGACAGGUGGUGCAUGGUUGUCGUCAGCUCGUGUCGUGAGAUGUUGGGUUAAGUCCCGCAACGAGCGCAACCCUUAUUGCUAGUUGCCAGCGGAUUAAGUUGGGAACUCUAAUGAGACUGCCGGGGAUAACUCGGAGGAAGGUGGGGACGACGUCAAAUCAUCAUGCCCCUUAUGUCUUGGGCUACACACGUGCUACAAUGGCCGGUACAAAGGGCUGCAAACCCGCAAGGGGGAGCGAAUCCCAUAAAGCCGGUCUCAGUUCGGAUCGUGGGCUGCAACCCGCCCACGUGAAGCCGGAGUUGCUAGUAAUCGCGAAUCAGCAUGUCGCGGUGAAUGCGUUCCCGGGUCUUGUACACACCGCCCGUCACACCAUGGGAGUUGGGAGCGCCCGAAGCCAGUGAGCUAACCGCAAGGAGGCAGCUGUCGAAGGCGAGAUCAAUGACUGGGGUGAAGUCGUAACAAGGUAACCA
rnacentral:rRNA from 1 species